rnacentral:rRNA from 1 species
AUUGAACGCUGGCGGCACGCUUAACACAUGCAAGUCGAGCGAGGGGCGGCCGGGGGGGUCAGGUCUGGGAAACGGCCUGAUGGUGGGGGAUAACUACUGGAAACGAUAGCUAAUACCGCCUACUGUCAGAUAUGCCCAGCUGCGAUUGGCUAGGAGGGGGGGAAAUGUCUCACCUAGGCGACGAUCCCUAGCUGGUCUGAGAGGACGACAAGCAAAACUGGAAAUGAGAUACGGUCAAGACUCCUACGGUAGGCCGCAUGGGGGAAGAGUGCACAAUGGGCGCAAGCCUGAUGCAGCCAUCCCGCGUGUGUGAAGAAGGCCUUCGGGUUGUAAAGCCGUUUCAGCGAGGAGGCGUUACUCGAAGAAGAAGCACCGGCUAACUCCGUGCCAGCAGCCGCGGUAAUAC